rnacentral:rRNA from 1 species
GAUGAACGCUGGCGGCGUGCCUAACACAUGCAAGUCGAGCGAUUCUCUUCGGAGAAGAGCGGCGGACGGGUGAGUAACGCGUGGGUAACCUACCCUGUACACACGGAUAACAUACCGAAAGGUAUGCUAAUACGGGAUGAUAUAUAGAAAUCGCAUGAUUUUUAUAUCAAAGAUUUAUCGGUACAGGAUGGACCCGCGUCUGAUUAGCUUGUUGGCGGGGUAACGGCCCACCAAGGCGACGAUCAGUAGCCGACCUGAGAGGGUGAUCGGCCACAUUGGAACUGAGACACGGUCCAAACUCCUACGGGAGGCAGCAGUGGGGAAUAUUGCACAAUGGGCGCAAGCCUGAUGCAGCAACGCCGCGUGAGCGAUGAAGGCCUUCGGGUCGUAAAGCUCUGU